rnacentral:rRNA from 1 species
AGUGAACGCUGGCGGUAGGCCUAACACAUGCAAGUCGAACGGCAGCACAGUAAGAGCUUGCUCUUACGGGUGGCGAGUGGCGGACGGGUGAGGAAUACAUCGGAAUCUACUUUUUCGUGGGGGAUAACGUAGGGAAACUUACGCUAAUACCGCAUACGACCUACGGGUGAAAGCAGGGGAUCUUCGGACCUUGCGCGAUUGAAUGAGCCGAUGUCGGAUUAGCUAGUUGGCGGGGUAAAGGCCCACCAAGGCGACGAUCCGUAGCUGGUCUGAGAGGGGGAUCAGCCACACUGGAACUGAGACACGGUCCAGACUCCUACGGGAGGCAGCAGUGGGGAAUAUUUGGCAAUGGGCGCAAGCGUGACCCAGCCACACCGCGUGAGUGAAGAAGGGCUUCGGGUUUUAAAACUCUUUUAUUGGGGAAGAAAAAAAGAGGAAGUAAAUACCCCUGUCUUGACGGUACCCAAAGAGAAAGCACCGGCUAACUUCGUG